rnacentral:rRNA from 1 species
UACGUAGGGGGCGAGCGUUGUCCGGAAUUAUUGGGCGUAAAGAGCGUGUAGGCUGUUCGGUAAGUCUGCCGUGAAAACCUGAGGCUCAACCUCGGGCGUGCGGUGGAUACUGCCGGGCUAGAGGACGGUAGAGGCGAGUGGAAUUCCCGGUGUAGCGGUGGAAUGCGUAGAGAUCGGGAAGAACAUCAGUGGCGAAGGCGGCCUGCUGGGCCAUAACUGACACUCAGAGACGAAAGCUAGGGGAGCGAAUGGG